CCUACGGGGGGCUGCAGUGGGGAAUAUUGCACAAUGGGCGCAAGCCUGAUGCAGCCAUGCCGCGUGUGUGAAGAAGGCCUUCGGGUUGUAAAGCACUUUCAGCGGGGAGGAAGGCGGUGAGGUUAAUAACCUCCUGGAUUGACGUUACCCGCAGAAGAAGCACCGGCUAACUCCGUGCCAGCAGCCGCGGUAAUACGGAGGGUGCAAGCGUUAAUCGGAAUUACUGGGCGUAAAGCGCACGCAGGCGGUCUGUCAAGUCGGAUGUGAAAUCCCCGGGCUCAACCUGGGAACUGCAUUCGAAACUGGCAGGCUAGAGUCUUGUAGAGGGGGGUAGAAUUCCAGGUGUAGCGGUGAAAUGCGUAGAGAUCGGGAGGAAUACCGGUGGCGAAGGCGGCCCCCUGGACAAAGACUGACGCUCAGGUGCGAAAGCGUGGGGAGCAAACAGGAUUAGAUACCCGGGUAGUC
rnacentral:rRNA from 1 species